UAAGAAUCUGGCUCACCACAGAAGGCUAGUUCUUAUACUUAGGGGGAAAAGCACAAACGUUCCAAACGAGUGUUAUAGUUCCACUUGACACAGAUGCUUAUAGUUUUCACAAAAUUUCUGCUUACACAAUUAAUUUUAAUUGACUUUGGGUCAUAAUUCAGGGUCUGAACAACCGAGAGAACUCAAGGGUCAAGUGUCGACCUUGAUUUGGUGUUGUGACCCGUUGUCUGCAGGCACAACACAGGCUGCAGUCACAACCCAUUGUCUGAGGGGGUACUCACACUACCAGACCUUCUGAACCUGCUCUAAGUUCUGGAAAUGACACCCUUUUGAGACCUUCCCACUGCAUCUGCAACUUCAAGCUGAGUCAUACCACCUUGCAGCAUCUCAACGACCCUGAAUCCUGCAAUCUUAUUAAACGUGCCAUUUUAAAUGCUUUCUGACCUCAAGUAAACCUUCCAGAGCCUAAAAAUAUGACCGGGUCCCAAUUACGGAAAGGUUCUUCAAAGUCGC